CACAUUUUCUAUGUGAGAUUUUAUUUUGAUUCUUCUUUCAGCAGCUUCAUUAGACAAGAAAUUUCAUACAUCCAGGAACAGUCCAUCGUAUUUAAGUGCGAUGUGGUGCACACAGAUGCAAAACAGCCCAACAAGGAACAGCUUUUCUUGAUUUGAGACUGUUGAGUGUUUGCUUCUUAUAUUGAAGACACAAACAAUGCAUCACAAUGAGUUUCCUUAUAAAAUUAAUGGAGAAUCACCGCCUUGAAAUCCGUAUACUGUAAUUCUUACAACUUUUAAAAGGUGAAAAUAAUUAUGUCCAUUCUAUUUUUUUAUUCAUGUGUGGAUUAACUUUAAGCAAAAUAAAUAAAUAUGUGAAUACCA